rnacentral:rRNA from 1 species
GGUAUGCUACCUGAUCUGAGGUCAACCUUGAGAAGUGGGGGGUUUAACGGCGUGGUUCAACCGCUAUCCUGCCGCGAGAGGUUUAAUUACUGCACGGAGGAGUUCGCGAGGGAACCGCCACUGGAUUUCAGGGCCAGCCGCCGCCAGGGGCAGGCUGAUCCCCAACGCCAGGUCCCGCGAACGGGUCCUGAGGGUUGAAAUGACGCUCAGACAGGCAUGCCCGCCAGAAUACUGGCGGGCGCAAUGUGCGUUCAAAGAUUCGAUGAUUCACUGAAUUCUGCAAUUCACAUUACUUAUCGCAUUUUGCUGCGUUCUUCAUCGAUGCCAGAACCAAGAGAUCCGUUGCUGAAAGUUUUGAUUUAUUUGCUUAUGCCACUCAGAAAUACACUAAAAGACAAGAGUUUGGAGCCUCCGGCGGACGCCUGGGUCCGGGCCGCGCGAACGCGCCCGGGGCGAGGCCGCCGAAGCAACAGUGGUAGGUUCACAAUGGUUUGGGAGUUUUUACACUCGGUAAUGAUCCCUCCGCAGGUUACCCCUACGGAGG